rnacentral:rRNA from 1 species
UACGGGGGGAGCAAGCGUUGUUCGGAUUUACUGGGCGUAAAGGGCGCGUAGGCGGCAAUUCAAGUCAUCUGUGAAAUCUCCGGGCUUAACCCGGAACGGUCAGAUGAUACUGCUUUGCUAGAGUGCAGAAGGGGCAAUCGGAAUUCUUGGUGUAGCGGUGAAAUGCGUAGAUAUCGUAAGGAAGACCAGUGGCGAAGGCGGGUCUCUGGACGAUUGUUGACGCUGAGGUGCGAAAGCGUGGGGAGCAAACAGG